GACAGAGGUGUCGAGCGUUAGGCGGAAUCACUGGGCUUAAAGCGUGUGUAGGCGGAUCGUUAAGUGCCUUGUGAAAUCCCACGGCUCAACCGUGGAACUGCUUGGCAUACUGGCGAUCUUGAGCCACUUAGGGGCAACCGGAACAAACGGUGGAGCGGUGAAAUGCGUAGAUAUCGGAAGGAACGCCGGUGGCGAAAGCGGCGUGCUGGACCUCUUCUGACGCUGAGGCGCGAAAGCCAGGGGAGCGAACGGG
rnacentral:rRNA from 1 species